CGUUUGUUCCGGGUCCGAAACGACCAGAGAAGCUUCCGCUUUUCCGCCUGAACUCCUACCGUCAGACAAUGUAACACAGAAAUGUGUGGGAGCCAUAAUUGGUCAAGUCACAUGGUAUAUUGCAAAACUGGCAUAAAUUGAAAAUUAGCUCGUGAACCUGUAUAAGCGUAUUUUAGGUAUUUUACAAACGGCUUAUCAAUUUCGUUUUGUUUACUAAGCACCUGCUGAAAAGUAUAGGGAAAUAUCUCAAACAUUUGAGUGGAACACCAGUUUUGAAAUCUGGAAUGAAAACUUUAUCUGUCCCGACAAACAUUGUUUUACCUCCUGGUAUUGUUUAUCGGCAAUGUUUUUAAAUAUUCUACUGAAUGCAAAAAAUGCCUAGGUGGUGUUUAUGUUUCACAUGCAAGUACUUCGGCUCAUGGCUCUACUAGCAAGUGCACCCUCGGAGACGCCUCAUAUCAAUUGGCUAUGACGGCAGCAAAAAUGCACUCACUCUAAUAGGAAAUCCCAUUUGUAUCUGUCAUCGUGUGCGUGAAGAAGUGUAAACAAACGUGUUUUGUCUCAUUUUUCUCACUUGCCAUACGACUCCCGUCAGGCGGCAGCACUGCGGCGCCGUCAAGGCGUAUUGCUGACUGCACCCCAAAUUGGACUGACACAAUAGUGUGCACACACCUUCAAAUCCAAUUUCAGAUGUAGUCUGCAAUAUGAGAAAGUGAAUCGACACUGUGUUUCACAUUUAAAAUUGCUCUGGCCCUUUUGAUAUUCAACACCAGUACGUAGCAUAAUUCAAGAAAAUGAAAGGGAUAGAGAUGAAAUCAUAACAUUGAAGCGUCAUCUCUUUAGAUCAGAGUGCCACAUAUCGGACUCACCACCUGUUAGUGUUAUCUGUAUUAUUAUUUAUUUGCUCUGUUCUAGUUUACAUAUUCUAUCUUUCAACCUUAUUUUAUGUGACGCUAAUUUCGCGAGUUAAAUUACCAAAUAGGUGCAUCAAUAUCACCAGGUGUAUUUCUUGGAAGAGUGGGACGCGGAGAAUAACACCGUCAGUUUUUGUGCUGCAUCUCACAUUCAAAAGCAUAUUCUUUGAUUAACAAGGCUAAAGGGUCCAAACUGAUAGAACACGCCCUAAAUAAUUAAUCAGCAUAAACAUUUGUUCAACAGAAUAAAUAAGAACAGACGUACCAGAUGGUCAAGCAAAAGAAUUGUCUUUUUCCUGUUUUGCACUAUUUCGUCAUAAACGCCAAAAAGCUACAUGUUUGUCUAUUAAUGAAUGAUGUCAGUAUUUUAAAAGUGAUAGCUUAAGUGUGGGUGUGUUAGUGAAUUGUUCACAGCGGGAAAUGGUUUUUAUUAUGAAAUUUUCCAGAUGUCAACAAACAUUUCCCAUGCAAAUAGGCUCGUUGAAAUGUGCGUGCGAUAAUUGGCAGCAAACUCAAAUAUUUGACAAGGAAUCAACUAAAGGUCAAACAUCUGUUUAACACUAAUGAAAAUUCGAUCGAUUCAAACAAAAUGUUUAACCAGCAAAAAAAAACACCCGUAGUAUGCCUACAGGGUAACGUUGGGUACCCACGAAACUGAAUUGAUCAUAUCUCCGUCAAUUUUCCACCGAUUUUAUUUAUUUUUGGCUCAUUCAACUCACAAACUCAUUAUCUAUCGAUAUAAUAUUUGGUUAGGCCGGUCCGAUCAC